rnacentral:rRNA from 1 species
ACCCAGUAGUGGGGGAUAACGUAGCGAAAGCUACGCUAAUACCGCAUACGAACUACGGUUGAAAGCGGGGGAUCGCAAGACCUCGCGCUAUUGGAGCGGCCGAUGGCAGAUUAGCUAGUUGGUGGGGUAAAGGCCCACCAAGGCGACGAUCUGUAGCUGGUCUGAGAGGACGACCAGCCACACUGGGACUGAGACACGGCCCAGACUCCUACGGGAGGCAGCAGUGGGGAAUUUUGGACAAUGGGGGAAACCCUGAUCCAGCAAUGCCGCGUGUGUGAAGAAGGCCUUCUGGUUGUAAAGCACUUUUGGCAGGAGCGAAACGGCUUGGGCUAAUACCUCGGGCUAAUGACGGAACCUGCAGGAUAAGCACCGGCUAACUACGUGCCAGCAGCCGCGGUAAUACGUAGGGUGCAAGCGUUAAUCGGAAUUACUGGGCGUAAAGCGAGCGCAGGCGGUUAUGUAAGACAGAUGUGAAAUCCCCGGGCUUAA